AGAGGCCGAUGAUGACGAUGAGAGAUAAUGCCUACAUUGUUUGAUGUUUUAUAUAUAUGAUAUAAAGAAUCCAAACAAGAAAUCUCUGAGGCCUCU
rnacentral:snoRNA from 1 species